UCGAGAAUCUUCGGCAAUGGGCGAAAGCCUGACCGAGCGAUGCCGCGUGCGGGAUGAAGGCCUUCGGGUUGUAAACCACUGUCGUAGGGGAGAAAGGGUCGUUGAAGAAACGACUUUGAUCUAUCCUAGGAGGAAGUCCGGGCUAAGUUCGUGCCAGCAGCCGCGGUAACACGAACCGGACAAACGUUAUUCGGAAUUACUGGGCUUAAAGGGUGCGUAGGCGGUGCGGUAAGUGCGGUGUGAAAUCCCACGGCUCAACCGUGGAAUUGCGCUGCAUACUGCCGUGCUAGAGGGAGACAGGGGUAAGCGGAACUGAUGGUGGAGCGGUGAAAUGCGUUGAUAUCAUCAGGAACACCGGUGGCGAAAGCGGCUUACUGGGUCUCUUCUGACGCUGAGGCACGAAAGCUAGGGUAGCGAACGGGAUUAGAUACCCCGGUAGUCCCUGAGCGGGCUGGCAAGGCGCAU
rnacentral:rRNA from 1 species